rnacentral:rRNA from 1 species
UCAGUAUUCAAUUGUCAGAGGUGAAAUUCUUGGAUUUAUUGAAGACUAACUACUGCGAAAGCAUUUGCCAAGGAUGUUUUCAUUAAUCAGUGAACGAAAGUUAGGGGAUCGAAGACGAUCAGAUACCGUCGUAGUCUUAACCGUAAACUAUGCCGACUAGGGAUCGGGCGAUGUUCUCUCUUGACUCGCUCGGCACCUUACGAGAAAUCAAAGUUUUUGGGUUCUGGGGGGAGUAUGGUCGCAAGGCUGAAACUUAAAGAAAUUGACGGAAGGGCACCACCAGGCGUGGAGCCUGCGGCUUAAUUUGACUCA